rnacentral:rRNA from 1 species
GACAGAGGGUGCAAACGUUGUUCGGAUUUACUGGGCGUAAAGCGUGUGUAGGCGGCUUCGCAAGUUGGAUGUGAAAUCCCACGGCUCAACCGUGGACGUGCAUCCAAAACUGCGUCGCUAGAGUCUCGGAGAGGAAGGUGGAAUGCUUGGUGUAGAGGUGAAAUUCGUAGAUAUCAAGCAGAACACCUGCGGCGAAGGCGGCCUUCUGGACGAUGACUGACACUGAGACACGAAAGCGUGGGGAGCAAACAGG